AGCGAAAUUAAAGUAGCGAAGUGAUUGAUGUCACACUGCCGAGAAAAGCUUCUAGUUAGGAUCAGACCACCCGUACCGCAAACCGACACAGGUAGUCGAGGCGAGUAGCCUAAGGUGAGCGAGAGAACUCUCGUUAAGGAACUCGGCAAAAUGACCCCGUAACUUCGGGAGAAGGGGUGCUGCACAAUGUGCAGCCGCAGUGAAUAGGCCCAGGCGACUGUUUAUCAAAAACACAGGUUUCUG
rnacentral:rRNA from 1 species